GGAUGUGAGGGUUAUCUGGUUGUGAUAUCUGUCACCCUUUGACAACCAGGGUUGACUCAGCUGGCUGGCUGGUGAGGCAGUGUCCCCUUCCUGCCUCACUGCUCCAUGUGCAUCCCUCUGGAAGCUGUGCACUCGGUCGAGGAGGUUGACACUUCCUAAUAGAUGAGCAUUGGGGAAUGUCCCCUAGCAUUCCCCUGCUAGAACCUCCAAACAAGCAGUCAAAAUUCCCCCUCCUCUUUGAAGCACCAACUCAAAGACUUUUUCUUCUGUGAAGCCUUUGUAAAUGCCUCAAUACAGAUUUAGUGACU
rnacentral:snRNA from 1 species